rnacentral:rRNA from 1 species
GGGGACACGAGCGGCGAACGGGUGAGUAACACGUGGGUGAUCUGCCUCGCACUUCGGGAUAAGCCUGGGAAACUGGGUCUAAUACCGGAUAUGACCUUUCAGUGCAUGCUGUUGGGUGGAAAGAUUUAUCGGUGCGAGAUGGGCCCGCGGCCUAUCAGCUUGUUGGCGGGGUAACGGCCCACCAAGGCGACGACGGGUAGCCGACCUGAGAGGGUGACCGGCCACACUGGGACUGAGACACGGCCCAGACUCCUACGGGAGGCAGCAGUGGGGAAUAUUGCACAAUGGGCGGAAGCCUGAUGCAGCGACGCCGCGUGAGGGAUGACGGCCUUCGGGUUGUAAACCUCUUUCGACAGGGACGAAGCGCAAGUGACGGUACCUGUAGAAGAAGCACCGGCCAACUACGUGCCAGCAGCCGCGGUAAUACGUAGGGUGCGAGCGUUGUCCGGAAUUACUGGGCGUAAAGAGCUUGUAGGCGGUUUGUCGCGUCGUCCGUGAAAACUUGGGGCUCAACCCCAAGCUUGCGGGCGAUACGGGCAGACUUGAGUACUUCAGGGGAGACUGGAAUUCCUGGUGUAGCGGUGAAAUGCGCAGAUAUCAGGAGGAACACCGGUGGCGAAGGCGGGUCUCUGGGAAGUAACUGACGCUGAGAAGCGAAAGCGUGGGUAGCGAACAGGAUUAGAUACCCUGGUAGUCCACGCCGUAAACGGUGGGUACUAGGUGUGGGUUUCCUUCCACGGGAUCCGUGCCGUAGCUAACGCAUUAAGUACCCCGCCUGGGGAGUACGGCCGCAAGGCUAAAACUCAAAGGAAUUGACGGGGGCCCGCACAAGCGGCGGAGCAUGUGGAUUAAUUCGAUGCAACGCGAAGAACCUUACCUGGGUUUGACAUACACCGGAAACCUGCAGAGAUGUAGGCCCCCUUGUGGUCGGUGUACAGGUGGUGCAUGGCUGUCGUCAGCUCGUGUCGUGAGAUGUUGGGUUAAGUCCCGCAACGAGCGCAACCCUUGUCCUGUGUUGCCAGCGCGUAAUGGCGGGGACUCGCAGGAGACUGCCGGGGUCAACUCGGAGGAAGGUGGGGACGACGUCAAGUCAUCAUGCCCCUUAUGUCCAGGGCUUCACACAUGCUACAAUGGCCGGUACAGAGGGCUGCGAUACCGUGAGGUGGAGCGAAUCCCUUAAAGCCGGUCUCAGUUCGGAUCGGGGUCUGCAACUCGACCCCGUGAAGUUGGAGUCGCUAGUAAUCGCAGAUCAGCAACGCUGCGGUGAAUACGUUCCCGGGCCUUGUACACACCGCCCGUCACGUCAUGAAAGUCGGUAACACCCUAGCCCGU